rnacentral:rRNA from 1 species
GCUCCAAUAGCGUAUAUUAAAAAUUGUUGCGGUUAAAACGCUCGUAGUUGGAUAUCUGCUAAGGGGUUCCGGUCCUUCCAGUGAAGAAUACGCGGAACUCUUCUUGGCAUUUAUUCAGGGAAGGUGUUUGCACUUUGUUGUGUGUCACAUGAUCUGAAUUUUUUACUUUGAGGAAAUGAGAGUGUUUCAAGCAGCUUCGC